UACGGAGGGUGCAAGCGUUAUCCGGAUUCACUGGGUUUAAAGGGCGCGUAGGCGGGCUAAUAAGUCAGUGGUGAAAGCUCCCGGCCCAACCGGGAAAUUGCCAUUGAUACUGUUAGCCUUGAGUGCAGUUGAGGUGGGCGGAAUACAGCAUGUAGCGGUGAAAUGCUUAGAUAUGCUGUAGAACACCGAUUGCGAAGGCAGCUCACUAAACUGUAACUGACGCUGAGGCACGAAAGCGUGGGGAUCGAACAGG
rnacentral:rRNA from 1 species